rnacentral:rRNA from 1 species
GACGAACGCUGGCGGCGUGCUUAACACAUGCCAGUCGAACGGAAAGGCCCUGCUUUUGUGGGGUGCUCGAGUGGCGAACGGGUGAGUAACACGUGAGUAACCUGCCCUUGACUUUGGGAUAACUUCAGGAAACUGGGGCUAAUACCGGAUAGGAGCUCCUGCUGCAUGGUGGGGGUUGGAAAGUUUCGGCGGUUGGGGAUGGACUCGCGGCUUAUCAGCUUGUUGGUGGGGUAGUGGCUUACCAAGGCUUUGACGGGUAGCCGGCCUGAGAGGGUGACCGGCCACAUUGGGACUGAGAUACGGCCCAGACUCCUACGGAAGGCAGCAGUGGGGAAUAUUGCACAAUGGGCGGAAGCCUGAUGCAGCAACGCCGCGUGCGGGAUGACGGCCUUCGGGUUGUAAACCGCUUUCGCCUGUGACGAAGCGUGAGUGACGGUAAUGGGUAAAGAAGCACCGGCUAACUACGUG